UACGGAAGGGGGCUAGCGUUGCUCGGAAUUACUGGGCGUAAAGGGCGCGUAGGCGGAUGUUUAAUGUCAGGAGGUAGAAAGCCCAGGGCUCAACCUUGGAACUGCCUUUGAUACUGGGCAUCGUUGAGUAUGGGAGAGGUGAGUGGAACUCCGAGUGUAGAGGUGAAAUUCGUAGAUAUCGGAAGAACACCAGUAGGCGAAGGCGACUGCCACUGGCCCAUUACUGGACGCUG
rnacentral:rRNA from 1 species